rnacentral:lncRNA from 1 species
AAUAAGGAAGUAUCUUCAGCACAGUAUAAGUACACAAUAGGUAAUAGAGAAUAGGUUCAUCAGAAUCUAAUCAUGGAAAGGUCUGUAAGAAUCAAAUACCAAUAUAAUCAAGGUAAGGGAAUUAAUCAAAUUGAGUAGAAAAUGUAGGGAUCAAAAGUUCAGAGGAAAGUGUUAAAAUUGGCCCGAGAAACAGGGAAAUCAGCAAAACAAGAAAUCAAUCAGAAUGACACAAGGAGGUUUGAAAUCAGUCGACAAUUGAAGGUCAUUUUAGAGGGAAAUUUAGCAUAUCAAAAAAUGUAUAAAUACUAGGCAUGCAAGGCUGAACUUAUGACAAAGAGAAGUGUCA